AACAGGGAUUGCCUUAGUAACGGCGAGUGAAGCGGCAACAGCUCAAAUUUGAAAUCUGGCUCUUUCAGGGUCCGAGUUGUAAUUUGUAGAGGAUGCUUCGGCGUGGGCCCCGGUCUAAGUUCCUUGGAACAGGACGUCACAGAGGGUGAGAAUCCCGUACGUGGCCGGCGGCGCUCGCCAUGUGAAGCUCCUUCGACGAGUCGAGUUGUUUGGGAAUGCAGCUCUAAAUGGGAGGUAAAUUUCUUCUAAAGCUAAAUACUGGCCAGAGACCGAUAGCGCACAAGUAGAGUGAUCGAAAGAUGAAAAGCACUUUGGAAAGAGAGUCAAACAGUACGUGAAAUUGUUGAAAGGGAAGCGCUUGCAACCAGACCUGCCCGUAGUCGCUCAUCCAGGCUUCUGCCUGGUGCACUCUUCUGCGGUCAGGCCAGCGUCAGUUCUGGCGGUCGGAUAAAGGCGGCGGGAAUGUGGCUCCUCUCGGGGAGUGUUAUAGCCCGCCGUGCAAUGCGGCCAGCCGGGACUGAGGUCCGCGCUUCGGCUAGGACGCUGGCGUAAUGGUUGUAAGCGGCCCGUCUUGAAACACGGACCAAGGAGUCUAACAUCUGUGCGAGUGUUUGGGUGUCAAGCCCGGGCGCGUAAUGAAAGUGAACGGAGGCGGGAACCUUAGGGUGCACCGUCGACCGAUCCUGAUGUCUUCGGAUGGAUUUGAGUAAGAGCAUAGCUGUUGGGACCCGAAAGAUGGUGAACUAUGCCUGAAUAGGGUGAAGCCAGAGGAAACUCUGGUGGAGGCUCGCAGCGGUUCUGACGUGCAAAUCGAUCGUCAAAUUUGGGCAUAGGGGCGAAAGACUAAUCGAACUAUCUAGUAGCUGGUCUGC
rnacentral:rRNA from 1 species